rnacentral:rRNA from 1 species
UACGUAGGGUGCGAGCGUUGUCCGGAAUUAUUGGGCGUAAAGAGCUCGUAGGCGGUCUGUCGCGUCUGCCGUGAAAGUCCGGGGCUCAACUCCGGAUCUGCGGUGGGUACGGGCAGACUAGAGUGAUGUAGGGGAGACUGGAAUUCCUGGUGUAGCGGUGGAAUGCGCAGAUAUCAGGAGGAACACCGGUGGCGAAGGCGGGUCUCUGGGCAGUUGCUGACACUGAGGCGCGACAGCGUGGGGAGCAAACAGG